AACUGUGCAGGAUUCAUGAUGUCAGUAUCACACGGUCGUUAAAACAACUUUGCUGGUCUUUGGACUUAACUUACCGUAACCUGAAUCUGAGCAGAAGUGGAAAGUUCUGGCCACUGGCUCAUUCAUACACUGUAUGCAGGCUAUUUGAUAGUUUACA